rnacentral:rRNA from 1 species
UGGGGAAUAUUGCACAAUGGGGGGAACCCUGAUGCAGCCAUGCCGCGUGUGUGAAGAAGGCCUUCGGGUUGUAAAGCACUUUCAGGUGCGAGGAAAGCAAUACGGUUAAUACCCGUAUUGUGUGACGUUAACACCAGAAGAAGCACCGGCUAACUCCGUGCCAGCAGCCGCGGUAAUACGGAGGGUGCGAGCGUUAAUCGGAAUUACUGGGCGUAAAGCGCACGCAGGCGGAAUGUUAAGCUAGAAGUGAAAGCCCCGGGCUCAACCUGGGAAGGCCUUUUAGAACUGGCAUUCUAGAGUUUUGGAGAGGGGAGUGGAAUUCCAAGUGUAGCGGUGAAAUGCGUAGAUAUUUGGAGGAACAUCAGUGGCGAAGGCGACUCUCUGGCCAAAGACUGACGCUCAUGUGCGAAAGUGUGGGUAGCGAACAGGAUUAGAUACCCCCGUAGUCC